UUGUGUUUGGGUUGAUUGUCAUUUUGUUCAAGUAAGCCAUCACAUGAUGAGUUCCAUGCUAGAAAUGGAGAGACUUAGUUCGUGAUAGGGAUAUGCUCUGAUAAGUGUGACAUUGGGGCAUAAGAUUAUACUUCGCAUGUUAUAAUUUUCAUGAAUAAUAUGAUUACGUUAUAAUUUCUAUUUUAGUUUUCUUUUAUUCAGGAUGGAAGGUCUUGUUUUGAGUCAGGAUAACUUUUUUUUUAUUUAAAAAUUCUACUAUGUUUUCACUAAGUGGAUGUGAACUUUUUUAUCCUUUUGAACUAAUCUAAAGUCAAU
rnacentral:lncRNA from 1 species